GGGCGACCUGUGCUGAUUUAAGCAGGCUCCUGUGCUGAUUCCCUACUGCUUUCCCUGGCUCUCUAUGUCCAGUGCCUCCAGAGGAUCUCAGCGUGCAGAGGCAAAGUUGCAAUAUUUGCACUAGGAAGUACCAGAAGACCACUCUGUUGCUCAGACAGAAAACAGAAAGAUAAUGCCUGCUUCAGGAGAUCUGCAGUCUGCUCAUAGGAUGAAUGAUAUGAUGAGGCCAGAAAACACAGGCAAGGGAGCAGAUGAUACUGGCAAUGAAGUGAUUAUAAAGAGAAAGAGCCAGGAGAAGAAAAGGAAAAUUAAACCAAAUGGCACAUCCACAGAACACCAGAAGCUGAUAGCUACAGUGCACAUCCAGAGAGAAGCAACGAAGUCACGCAGGGCAUCGCAGGGGCAGCAGCAGGGCUAUGAGUAACCCCGUGGUGUUAAACCACUGCCAGGGUAAGAGUGCACACAGAGCCACACAACCUAACCAGCACCCUCUGCUUCCCACUUUCUCCUAGAUCUUUCAUUUGUUCCCCCGCUCACCAUCCCCAUGUCUAUAAAAAUAAUCAUCUCUGUAGCUAGCCAGGUUGUUAAUUAUUUACUGCAGCAGACUCCUCUGUUUUUCCCAUUUCUUGAUCUUGGUGUUUGUUCUGACUCACCGAAUUAGGUGUCUCCCUCCUGGUGCUUGCACCAUUGUACUCUUCUGUUUUCCUCCUGCCCA